GGGGUAAAACCCGUACGCGAACCCCGGUACAAAAGGCACCACCCCAAGAGAAUUAACCCGUCCAGGAACAGCGUCCGCUUUUACCCCUAAUUCAGGAACUCCCCAUCUAUGUAUAACAUCCCUCGUAGAAACUUUAACCUCAUUCUUAACACCAUAAGCCAAAACACAAGGGGACGUCACAUCUCGAUUAGGGAAUCCCCCGCUCAUCCUUACUUUUUGUUCUAACAAAUCACAGGGGAUACCGUACGAUUCCGCCCUUCUUCUUCAAACACCUCCCACUCUUAAUCGCAUAAAUGCUAUAUGGUACGGAGCUGCAAUGUUUAAGAUAAGAUGCUCCUCCGGGAUGGGCUUAGUAUGAUCAAGCUCAUACACCGUAGGCUCCCCCUCCUUAACAUAUUUAGGAUUAACAAAAACAAUGUGACCAGUCCUUUUAGGCAGAAGAGUCCGAGUUUCCCGAAGAGGACGAUUCUUCGCUGCCUGCUUCUCUGCCUCAAGCUCUUGAAGUAAUGUGUAAUAUUCCCUCGCCUGAACAUCCGGAUCGUCUUCCGGAUGAGCCCGAUGGUAAUUAAGCAUAGCCACUGCCUUAGGGCCGUAGUACCAUAGCGCUGCUAUCAUAUAAUGAUCACCAUCCUCAA
rnacentral:sRNA from 1 species